CAUUUCUCAGCCUUUAAACUACCCUAGUUGGAGUCAGCUGAAGCAUUGCAAUAUGGUCUACAAUGCGAGUAAUUAUACCGAUUAUCUUUUUAAGUGAUGUAUCUUUUAUUUAAAGACAAAUAUUUAUUUGGGCCUAGAGGGUGGGCAGAAACAUGAUCCCAGAAUAGAGUGGCUAUAUUAGUAUAAAUAUCAUUUAUAGGCAUUAUAGUAGGUUUUGGGAAGUCUUUCAUUUGCCAAAGAAAUGGUCCCCUUUGCACUUUUGUUCUCUAGACGGAGUGAGAGAACUGUUUUUGGUUGGCUUCGAUAUAGUUCGAAUGCUACGACUCAUGUAGAGGGAAAGAGUGCCAUUUCUCAGCCUUUAAACUACCCUAGUUGGAGUCAGCCGAAGCAUUGCAAUA